GUGGCGAACGGGUGAGUAACACGUGGGCAAUCUGCCCUUCACUCUGGGACAAGCCCUGGAAACGGGGUCUAAUACCGGAUAACACUCUGUCCUGCAUGGGACGGGGUUAAAAGCUCCGGCGGUGAAGGAUGAGCCCGCGGCCUAUCAGCUUGUUGGUGGGGUAAUGGCCUACCAAGGCGACGACGGGUAGCCGGCCUGAGAGGGCGACCGGCCACACUGGGACUGAGACACGGCCCAGACUCCUACGGGAGGCAGCAGUGGGGAAUAUUGCACAAUGGGCGAAAGCCUGAUGCAGCGACGCCGCGUGAGGGAUGACGGCCUUCGGGUUGUAAACCUCUUUCAGCAGGGAAGAAGCGAAAGUGACGGUACCUGCAGAAGAAGCGCCGGCUAACUACGUGCCAGCAGCCGCGGUAAUACGUAGGGCGCAAGCGUUGUCCGGAAUUAUUGGGCGUAAAGAGCUCGUAGGCGGCUUGUCACGUCGGAUGUGAAAGCCCGGGGCUUAACCCCGGGUCUGCAUUCGAUACGGGCUAGCUAGAGUGUGGUAGGGGAGAUCGGAAUUCCUGGUGUAGCGGUGAAAUGCGCAGAUAUCAGGAGGAACACCGGUGGCGAAGGCGGAUCUCUGGGCCAUUACUGACGCUGAGGAGCGAAAGCGUGGGGAGCGAACAGGAUUAGAUACCCUGGUAGUCCACGCCGUAAACGUUGGGAACUAGGUGUUGGCGACAUUCCACGUCGUCGGUGCCGCAGCUAACGCAUUAAGUUCCCCGCCUGGGGAAUACGGCCGCAAGGCUAAACUCAAAGGAAUUGACGGGGGCCCGCACAAGCAGCGGAGCAUGUGGCUUAAUUCGACGCAACGCGAAGAACCUUACCAAGGCUUGACAUAUACCGGAAAGCAUCAGAGAUGGUGCCCCCCUUGUGGUCGGUAUACAGGUGGUGCAUGGCUGUCGUCAGCUCGUGUCGUGAGAUGUUGGGUUAAGUCCCGCAACGAGCGCAACCCUUGUUCUGUGUUGCCAGCAUGCCCUUCGGGGUGAUGGGGACUCACAGGAGACUGCCGGGGUCAACUCGGAGGAAGGUGGGGACGACGUCAAGUCAUCAUGCCCCUUAUGUCUUGGGCUGCACACGUGCUACAAUGGCCGGUACAAUGAGCUGCGAUGCCGCGAGGCGGAGCGAAUCUCAAAAAGCCGGUCUCAGUUCGGAUUGGGGUCUGCAACUCGACCCCAUGAAGUCGGAGUUGCUAGUAAUCGCAGAUCAGCAUUGCUGCGGUGAAUACGUUCCCGGGCCUUGUACACACCGCCCGUCACGUCACGAAAGUCGGUAACA
rnacentral:rRNA from 1 species